UGUGGCUCAAAUGGGACUCGC
rnacentral:siRNA from 1 species